UUCCGGUUGAUCCUGCCGGACUUACUGCUAUCGAGGUUCGACUAAGCCAUGCGAGUCAUUUGUAGCAUUACAUGGCGAACUGUUCAUUAACACGAGUCUAACCUCCCCUUAGGACGGAAUUAAACCCGGAAAACUGGAAAUAAGACCCAAUAAAUCUCGACUGCUGAAAUGCUUAUGGAUCCAAAGUUCCGGCGCCUAAGGAUGGAUCUGCGGCCUAUCAGGUUGUAGUGGGUGUAGCGUACCUACUAGCCUAUGACGGGUACGGGUUGUGAGAGCAAGAGCCCGGAGAUGGAUUCUGAGACACGAAUCCAGGCCCUACGGGGCGCAGCAGGCGCGAAAACUUUACAAUGCCGGCAACGGCGAUAAGGGGACCUCGAGUGCCUUGUUACAAAUCUGGCUGUCGUGAUGCCUAAAAAGCAUUGCAUAUAAUGGGCCGGGCAAGACCGGUGCCAGCCGCCGCGGUAACACCGGCGGCUCGAGUGGUAACCGUUAUUAUUGGGUCUAAAGGGUCUGUAGCCGGCCGUAUAAGUCUCUUGGGAAAUCUGUCAGCUUAACUGUCAGGCUUUCAGGAGAUACUGUCUGGCUCGAGGCCGGGAGAGGUGAGAG
rnacentral:rRNA from 1 species